UCCAUGGACUUGGACUAUACAUGGACUACAUUGCUUGCUGCCCUUCAUCCUGUUUCGUCAACAUAACAGGAUCUUCUGCUGCUACUCAUUGCGGCUUGUUUGCAAUACGACAUGCUACACAGGCCAGAGAACAAAAUUCCAACUUUGAAAACUGAUUUUCCUUACAACACUGUGCAGUCUGAAGAGGUAAUGACAUCGCUUGAUUCAGCCACAUGAAGACCCAUUUUAGCCUAAGGACACAUGGUGGGGAGUGGAGUGGACCAAGGUGGCUAAGAUGUGCUACAGGUGUGGAGGAUGAUAAUGAGGACCAGAGAAUGAUCAUGAGGACCAGCCACCAGAGAAAAAAGUCCCUGUUUGACCAAAGAGAAAGAAGCAGAUGAAAUAUUCCCCAAGAAAAUUAUUGACCACAGUGGAUUGAGUCAUCACCCACUAUGAGAAUGUCCAGAAGAGAUUCACCAAGUUUGAAUUCAUGAAAAGGCUUUCACCAUGAUUAACAUUGACCACAACCAUUGCAAGAUCAGUUAUAAUUUCUGAGCAUUUCCGGACACCUUUAAAGAGCUGCUUCCAGGAAAUGAAGACAACAAGAAGAUCUCCCUGUUAUCAGAGCGUUACAGGAAGGCUAUAACGAAGGAGAUGGCUGACACAAUCAAAGCAAAAAAUGUUAGGACUGUUGAAAGACGAUAUUUUCUUAACUUAAAGAUAAGUAAUUCUGUUUUAGUUUUUCAAUCAGUAUUUCAGAGUUACAAUAUACUGACCAGAAGUUAAACCCUCUGUUUGAAGAACAAGUAAUCUUUUGUUUAAUUCCAAUGUACAAAGGGUUUGUUCUACAGCUAUGAUGGUAGAUAUAAGUAGUCCAGUGUGUUCCACUUCACUUGAGGUAAGACCUAACAUUAAUGACUCUGUUAAUAUAGCACUUGACACUAUAAUGACACUUAAUGAUAUCUUUAUAACUGUUGCUACUUGUUUCACUUUACUUGAGGUAAGAGAUAAUAUUAAUGACACUGUAAUAACACUUAAUGACAUAUUUAUAGCUGGUGUUCCACUUGAAGUAAGAAGAAUUAUUAAUGACUCUGUUAUUAAAUCAUUUGACCGUGUAAUAAAGCUUAAUGAAAUCUU